AAGACCAUAGUCAAUUUCAUGACGUAUGAGUUGCAUUCAUAAAGAGUUUUAUAAACUGGUUUUG
rnacentral:tRNA from 1 species